ensembl:lncRNA
AGACAUCACAUAUUUGCAAAAAUGCGCCGAAGUUUUCAGAGACGUCCAUUUUUUUCAUGCUUUGUGGCAGCUUUUGAACAUCUGUGACAUCUAUUAAUGUCAAAUCUAGCCUUUAUUUAACAACAUAAGCAAACUCUAUGUAACAAUGAUUGCACAGCCAUUAAGGAUCAAAUCAGUUUCUGAAAAAUGUUCUGUUUUUUUUCUCCCUCUGCUUGCUUCUUACUGUCUUUGAGGCUCGGGACCAGCACUCCUGUUGUUGGACAGAAAGACAUCAACUCAGUGACUUGAGAUAUGACUGCACUAUGCUGUUGCUGGUGACUCCAGUUAAUUCUACAAGACAUGCUGUGACACCAGGAGAGAUGAGUCCUCGGUCACAGAUGGUGUGGUCAGUGAAGAUGGUCGCCUGCCGGUUCAAGCUCAUUGCAUCUCC